GGGUUGUGAGGUUAAGCGACUAAGCGUACACGGUGGAUGCCCUGGCAGUCAGAGGCGAUGAAGGACGUGCUAAUCUGCGAUAAGCGUCGGUAAGGUGAUAUGAACCGUUAUAACCGGCGAUUUCCGAAUGGGGAAACCCAGUGUGUUUCGACACACUAUCAUUAACUGAAUCCAUAGGUUAAUGAGGCGAACCGGGGGAACUGAAACAUCUAAGUACCCCGAGGAAAAGAAAUCAACCGAGAUUCCCCCAGUAGCGGCGAGCGAACGGGGAGCAGCCCAGAGCCUGAAUCAGUGUGUGUGUUAGUGGAAGCGUCUGGAAAGGCGUGCGAUACAGGGUGACAGCCCCGUACACAAAAAUGCACAUAUUGUGAGCUCGAUGAGUAGGGCGGGACACGUGGUAUCCUGUCUGAAUAUGGGGGGACCAUCCUCCAAGGCUAAAUACUCCUGACUGACCGAUAGUGAACCAGUACCGUGAGGGAAAGGCGAAAAGAACCCCGGCGAGGGGAGUGAAAAAGAACCUGAAACCGUGUACGUACAAGCAGUGGGAGCACGCUUAGGCGUGUGACUGCGUACCUUUUGUAUAAUGGGUCAGCGACUUAUAUUCUGUAGCAAGGUUAACCGAAUAGGGGAGCCGAAGGGAAACCGAGUCUUAACUGGGCGUUAAGUUGCAGGGUAUAGACCCGAAACCCGGUGAUCUAGCCAUGGGCAGGUUGAAGGUUGGGUAACACUAACUGGAGGACCGAACCGACUAAUGUUGAAAAAUUAGCGGAUGACUUGUGGCUGGGGGUGAAAGGCCAAUCAAACCGGGAGAUAGCUGGUUCUCCCCGAAAGCUAUUUAGGUAGCGCCUCGUGAAUUCAUCUCCGGGGGUAGAGCACUGUUUCGGCAAGGGGGUCAUCCCGACUUACCAACCCGAUGCAAACUGCGAAUACCGGAGAAUGUUAUCACGGGAGACACACGGCGGGUGCUAACGUCCGUCGUGAAGAGGGAAACAACCCAGACCGCCAGCUAAGGUCCCAAAGUCAUGGUUAAGUGGGAAACGAUGUGGGAAGGCCCAGACAGCCAGGAUGUUGGCUUAGAAGCAGCCAUCAUUUAAAGAAAGCGUAAUAGCUCACUGGUCGAGUCGGCCUGCGCGGAAGAUGUAACGGGGCUAAACCAUGCACCGAAGCUGCGGCAGCGACGCUUAUGCGUUGUUGGGUAGGGGAGCGUUCUGUAAGCCUGUGAAGGUGUGCUGUGAGGCAUGCUGGAGGUAUCAGAAGUGCGAAUGCUGACAUAAGUAACGAUAAAGCGGGUGAAAAGCCCGCUCGCCGGAAGACCAAGGGUUCCUGUCCAACGUUAAUCGGGGCAGGGUGAGUCGACCCCUAAGGCGAGGCCGAAAGGCGUAGUCGAUGGGAAACAGGUUAAUAUUCCUGUACUUGGUGUUACUGCGAAGGGGGGACGGAGAAGGCUAUGUUGGCCGGGCGACGGUUGUCCCGGUUUAAGCGUGUAGGCUGGUUUUCCAGGCAAAUCCGGAAAAUCAAGGCUGAGGCGUGAUGACGAGGCACUACGGUGCUGAAGCAACAAAUGCCCUGCUUCCAGGAAAAGCCUCUAAGCAUCAGGUAACAUCAAAUCGUACCCCAAACCGACACAGGUGGUCAGGUAGAGAAUACCAAGGCGCUUGAGAGAACUCGGGUGAAGGAACUAGGCAAAAUGGUGCCGUAACUUCGGGAGAAGGCACGCUGAUAUGUAGGUGAAGUCCCUUGCGGAUGGAGCUGAAAUCAGUCGAAGAUACCAGCUGGCUGCAACUGUUUAUUAAAAACACAGCACUGUGCAAACACGAAAGUGGACGUAUACGGUGUGACGCCUGCCCGGUGCCGGAAGGUUAAUUGAUGGGGUCAGCGCAAGCGAAGCUCUUGAUCGAAGCCCCGGUAAACGGCGGCCGUAACUAUAACGGUCCUAAGGUAGCGAAAUUCCUUGUCGGGUAAGUUCCGACCUGCACGAAUGGCGUAAUGAUGGCCAGGCUGUCUCCACCCGAGACUCAGUGAAAUUGAACUCGCUGUGAAGAUGCAGUGUACCCGCGGCAAGACGGAAAGACCCCGUGAACCUUUACUAUAGCUUGACACUGAACAUUGAGCCUUGAUGUGUAGGAUAGGUGGGAGGCUUUGAAGUGUGGACGCCAGUCUGCAUGGAGCCGACCUUGAAAUACCACCCUUUAAUGUUUGAUGUUCUAACGUGGACCCGUGAUCCGGGUUGCGGACAGUGUCUGGUGGGUAGUUUGACUGGGGCGGUCUCCUCCUAAAGAGUAACGGAGGAGCACGAAGGUUGGCUAAUCCUGGUCGGACAUCAGGAGGUUAGUGCAAUGGCAUAAGCCAGCUUGACUGCGAGCGUGACGGCGCGAGCAGGUGCGAAAGCAGGUCAUAGUGAUCCGGUGGUUCUGAAUGGAAGGGCCAUCGCUCAACGGAUAAAAGGUACUCCGGGGAUAACAGGCUGAUACCGCCCAAGAGUUCAUAUCGACGGCGGUGUUUGGCACCUCGAUGUCGGCUCAUCACAUCCUGGGGCUGAAGUAGGUCCCAAGGGUAUGGCUGUUCGCCAUUUAAAGUGGUACGCGAGCUGGGUUUAGAACGUCGUGAGACAGUUCGGUCCCUAUCUGCCGUGGGCGCUGGAGAACUGAGGGGGGCUGCUCCUAGUACGAGAGGACCGGAGUGGACGCAUCACUGGUGUUCGGGUUGUCAUGCCAAUGGCACUGCCCGGUAGCUAAAUGCGGAAGAGAUAAGUGCUGAAAGCAUCUAAGCACGAAACUUGCCCCGAGAUGAGUUCUCCCUGACCCUUUAAGGGUCCUGAAGGAACGUUGAAGACGACGACGUUGAUAGGCCGGGUGUGUAAGCGCAGCGAUGCGUUGAGCUAACCGGUACUAAUGAACCGUGAGGCUUAACCUUACAACGCCGAAGGUGUUU
rnacentral:rRNA from 1 species